rnacentral:lncRNA from 1 species
CCGCCACCUCUAAUCCAUUGUCUCUCCCAAAUGCUCUCAAACACCUGAAGCCCUAAUAGCCACCUAUCUCUUCUUCGACCUCAAAUCCUCAGAGUCUAUAGCUUCUCUAGCCAUAUACGACCUCUACUCACCAUCUAUUGCUCCCACACGCCUGCUUGCUGAAGAUUUGAAGCCAGUCUUCAAGGGUUUUCAUCCAAACCUUUCUUGAUUCGAGGUCUUCAGCCAUUUCUGGCCUUGCUCCAGCGUGCCUUAGCCUUUUGAGCCCGGUUUCGACCUUAUCGGCUCAAAUCUGAUCUCGUGACUUCCAAGUCUUUCUCCUCCUUUUGGGUUCUCAGAAACCCUGGCCUAUUUGAGUUCUAUUUUGUCUUACUCGUUACAUCUGUGCUAGAUUUAUGUUGUGUGUGCCAUUUUAGAGCUUUUCCCUAAAUUUUCCUUUUCAAAACUGUUCAUAUCUGAUAUCUAGGUUUCUGAAAAUGGAUUCUAAGCGUUUUGUGACUCUUUUACUCUCUCUUGUAUGUGUUUAUGCUCGUUUGUUUUAUUCUGCUAUUGUGUUGAAAUAUGUACUCUUGUUUCUUACCUUGUUGCUACAGAGAUUCUUUUAUAUUCUGUGUUCGUAGGCUAGCCUAGGUUGUUGACUUACUCUUUGCUAUAUGUGUUCAAGUGCAUGCCUUAAAUUUGUUUCUCAAUUCCGUUGAUCAUUUUUCUCGCCUACCUUUGUCUUAAAACUCAUAGUUUUUCUUGUUUUUGUUUGUGUAUGUCUGCCUAUCUCUGUGAAUUUGAACGAUCUUCUCAUCGCUGAUUCCAUGUGAAACCCUAAAAUUUGGGGUUUUUCCUUUGAGUAGAUGGCACUAGGGUUUCACUCUGAACCCCUAGGUUUACAUACUCAUGACGAGCCUGUAAUUAAACUCAAAACCUUAUUCGUGACUCUAAGAAUUUCAUUGUGAGGCUCUUCUGUGGUUUAAAUUGUAUGCUUUAUGUGAGGAAAACCUUUACUUUCAAAGAUUUAUUUUUGAAAUCCCUUUAAUCAUGCUAAUGAUUCAUCACAGAUUUUCUUUUGAUUGAACCUCUUUUACCCUAUUGAUGUUUUCUCUAAAUACAUGUUCUUGUGUAUCUCCUUUGUGAUUCUGUCCCAAUGUUUGAUUCAUUUCCAUAUCUAUAUGCGAUGUCCUUAAUUAUUAGGUCCUUUGUGAUUACAACUAGGUCCGGGACCCUUUUUGAUUGGUUUUCAAACUGAAACCUUAUUUUCACAGGCACUAUUCCAUCUUUCCAUAAUUGCCAAUUAUGUAUUGACCUUAUUUGUGCACUAUAUGGCUUCCUUGCCUUUAUCAGCCUUAGUAAACUGAUUUUUCUCCCUCAUGCUAUCUUAACUAGACAUUUGAACUAGACCCAUUAAUUAAAGGAGUCUGGUUAUUUUAAUUGAUACUGAUUGAUUAGUUUCUAUAUUUACGCACGCUUUGCCUACCUUCCUUGUUUUCAAAGACUAUAUAAAGGGCUCAGCCCUCCCCUUUUCUAUCAUCAGUCGAGACUAAGUACUCUCUCAUAAUCACAAACACACAGACCAGUCUUAGAUACUACUUCUCUUUUAUUUCUCAAAUACCUUUAAGUUUCUCUCAAAGCUUUCGAGUGUUCUGCUGAAGUCUUGAGUUGAUUUUUUCUAUGUGUUGUGGCUGCAAGUGCUCUAUUUUUCUCUUUCUGUUUACUUUGUAACUGGUAUGUCUAGACCUAUUUAAAUAUUGUCCCUCUCUUAUGUGCUUUACAUUUUAGCUCUGCUGUGCUUCUUUCUUACUACUUUUCUGCAAGUUUAUCAUCUUUGUUAUGUGAAUCCUUUAUCCUACCCCUUUAUGUGUGAGUUGUCCAAGUGUCUGGACUGGAUUCUUUGAAUCCAAAACUCAAUCAAUUCCCAUUCCAUUUCCCAUUUAUGUGUGUUUGAGCUUUAUAACAAGGUCUAAUAGUGUCCUAAUCAAUGUCCAGACCCUGGUCUGACCUUCAAGGGUCUGCUCUUAAUUUGUUCUCCAAAUAGGUGGUCAGGGGUGUGCCAGCCUAUUUUGUGGAUACGCAUGACCACCACCUGUCAUGGCUCCCCAAUCCCCCUUUCACUUGCACUUACUCUUAGUUAUUAAGUUCUAUCCCUCUCUUGCAAGCCUUGCUUUGGGACCCUUGAGCUUUCUUUGAACUUGGAUGCAUGAGAGCUGGCUCUUCCACACUGCAGUGUUUUUAAUUCUAAUGGUAUCUUGGGUGUAAGCAAUACAGGGAAUCCUUGAGAUUCCUUGAAACUUUGAAACACCCUGGAUAAAGAGAAGGCUUUGGAAAUAUGGAUCCCAUAAGUGGUUCAGUCGCAUGUUAUUAGACAUUAAGGUUAAAUUAGGCUUCUCGGAUCUAGCUGUUAGCUUCUGAUGUAUUCUUAUAUAUUUUUCUGGUUUUUAAUAACUUAUAUAAACUUGGGGAAUAUAGUGAAAGGGUGGGGGUCUUUACUUUCCUACAUUAAAAGGCUAGAAAUCAUGAUCUUAGGACUUUAUUGUAGGGGUGGGCAUCGGUCAGUUCGGUUUGAAAAUUAUCGGUUUUAUUCUAUCGAUUAUCAAUUUACAAAUAUCAUCACUCAAUAACCAAUCCGAUAAGAUAUUGGUUGUCGGUUAUUUGUUUAUCAGUUAUUGAUCAUUAUCGGUUGGGUUAUUGGCUUACCUAAUAAGGUAAAACUAAAAUUAGAAGUGAUGAACGGUGAAUAUUAAAAGUGUUGAAUAUUACAACUUAAAACUGAAUGCAACACUACUGUUACUGAUUUCUCAAGAAACACUUAAAAGUGCUGAAUAUUUUAACUUAAAACUGAAUGCAACACACCUGCUAUGAACUAUGACUGCGCAUUACAGUUGACUAUUCCUCCAAAAACAAUUCCAGUCCAUUAUGCAGCUCUUAGUAUUGCAAAAAAAAAAGCAAAUAGAAGCAAAAAACUUGAGCCAAAACUUAUAGAAGACAGAACUUACACGAUGAAGGGGGGCCUUAUGGCGUACUGGCGGUGGUGGAUUGGCGGUGGUGUGAGCCUCUGAGGGUGAGGACUGCCGCGAAUGCGAGUGAAGAGGCGGGGGCGUGAGCGUGACUACGUGAGUGAAACUGAAAUUUAAAGAAUGAAAC